rnacentral:rRNA from 1 species
CUGUAGACACGGUAGUUGAUCAGUGGCNCAGGACGAACGCUGGCGGCGCGCCUAACACAUGCAAGUCGAACGAGCGAGAGAGAGCUUGCUUUCUCGAGCGAGUGGCGAACGGGUGAGUAACGCGUGAGGAACCUGCCUCAAAGAGGGGGGACAACAGUUGGAAACGACUGCUAAUACCGCAUAAGCCCACGGUGCCGCAUGGCACAGAGGGAAAAGGAGCAAUCCGCUUUGAGAUGGCCUCGCGUCCGAUUAGCUAGUUGGUGAGGUAAUGGCCCACCAAGGCAACGAUCGGUAGCCGGACUGAGAGGUUGAACGGCCACAUUGGGACUGAGACACGGCCCAGACUCCUACGGGAGGCAGCAGUGGGGAAUAUUGCACAAUGGGGGAAACCCUGAUGCAGCGACGCCGCGUGGAGGAAGAAGGUCUUCGGAUUGUAAACUCCUGUUGUUGGGGAAGAUAAUGACGGUACCCAACAAGGAAGUGACGGCUAACUACGUG